rnacentral:rRNA from 1 species
AGUGAACGCUGGCGGUAGGCCUAACACAUGCAAGUCGAACGGCAGCACAGUAAGAGCUUGCUCUUACGGGUGGCGAGUGGCGGACGGGUGAGGAAUACAUCGGAAUCUACUUUUUCGUGGGGGAUAACGUAGGGAAAUUUACGCUAAUACCGCAUACGACCUACGGGUGAAAGCAGGGGAUCUUCGGACCUUGCGCGAUUGAAUGAGCCGAUGUCGGAUUAGCUAGUUGGCGGGGUAAAGGCCCACCAAGGCGACGAUCCGUAGCUGGUCUGAGAGGAUGAUCAGCCACACUGGAACUGAGACACGGUCCAGACUCCUACGGGAGGCAUCAGUGGGGAAUAUUGGACAAUGGGCGCAAGCCUGAUCCAGCCAUACCGCGUGGGUGAAGAAGGCCUUCGGGUUGUAAAGCCCUUUUGUUGGGAAAGAAAAGCAGCGGGUUAAUACCCCGCUGUUCUGACGGUACCCAAAGAAUAAGCACCGGCUAACUUCGUG